ACACAUGCAAGUCGAACGGCAGCACGGGUGCUUGCACCUGGUGGCGAGUGGCGAACGGGUGAGUAAUGCAUCGGAACGUACCCUGGAGUGGGGGAUAACUAUCCGAAAGGAUAGCUAAUACCGCAUAUUCUAUGAGUAGGAAAGCGGGGGAUCUUCGGACCUCGCGCUCUGGGAGCGGCCGAUGUCAGAUUAGCUAGUUGGUGGGGUAAAGGCCUACCAAGGCUACGAUCUGUAGCGGGUCUGAGAGGAUGAUCCGCCACACUGGGACUGAGACACGGCCCAGACUCCUACGGGAGGCAGCAGUGGGGAAUUUUGGACAAUGGGGGCAACCCUGAUCCAGCCAUGCCGCGUGAGUGAAGAAGGCCUUCGGGUUGUAAAGCUCUUUCGGCCGGGAAGAAAUCGCCAUCUCUAAUAUAGGUGGUGGAUGA
rnacentral:rRNA from 1 species